GAUGAACGCUGGCGGCGUGCCUAAUACAUGCAAGUCGAGCGAACGGACGAGAAGCUUGCUUCUCUGAUGUUAGCGGCGGACGGGUGAGUAACACGUGGAUAACCUACCUAUAAGACUGGGAUAACUUCGGGAAACCGGAGCUAAUACCGGAUAAUAUUUUGAACCGCAUGGUUCAAAAGUAAAAGACGGUCUUGCUGCCACUUAUAGAUGGAUCCGCGCUGCAUUAGCUAGUUGGUAAGGUAACGGCUUACCAAGGCAACGAUGCAUAGCCGACCUGAGAGGGUGAUCGGCCACACUGGAACUGAGACACGGUCCAGACUCCUACGGGAGGCAGCAGUAGGGAAUCUUCCGCAAAGGGCGAAAGCCUGACGGAGCAACGCCGCGUGAGUGAUGAAGGUCUUCGGAUCGUAAAACUCUGUUAUUAGGGAAGAACAUAUGUGUAAGUAACUGUGCACAUCUUGACGGUACCUAAUCAGAAAGCCACGGCUAACUACGUG
rnacentral:rRNA from 1 species